GUGGUAGCUCAGAGGUAGAGUGCUUGCCUGGCACAUGUGAGGCCCUGGGUUCAAUUCUCAGCACCACA
rnacentral:tRNA from 1 species